AUCCCUUUUAGCUCAGUGGUCGAGUGUUGGCUUUGGAAGCCACAGGUCGGUGGUUUGAGCCCACCAGGGCACA
rnacentral:tRNA from 1 species